CAAUAAGAGCAAGGGGAAGAAGCCAAAGCCGACUCCGGGAAAUUGAGGAUAGCAGACACCCUGGCAGUUUUACUGGGACCCAGCAACUCUAAAAUGCAGCUUUCUAUGCAAGAAAGACCUAUGUGAUAAUUAAGAGACUCCUUCCUUAAGAGCAUUUGGUCAAUAGUGAUAUAUUCCUGCCCUGAAGAAGGUACUCUGUGAAGAAUCAAAGCAACCUUAGAAGGUAUGGUUGGAGCGUGGAUGCCAUUGUGAUUUGAUAUUUAGGGCAUACUUCAAAGUAAGCAUUUGUUCGCCAUUGCUCCUGACAGAUGCCAGUGUCAAAUGAUUCCAAUAAUAGAGCAACAGACUGUGAACUAGAAGAGGUCUUGAACAUGGAGGUAUGCGUUGAUGCGAAAGGUUUUACAGUUGACUCAGG
ensembl:lncRNA